UACGAAGGGUGCAAACGUUGCUCGGAAUUAUUGGGCGUAAAGCGCACGUAGGCGGCUUGGCAAGUCGGAUGUGAAAUCCCGGGGCUCAACCCCGGAACUGCCCUUGAAACUGCAGUGCUAGAAUCUUGGAGAGGCGAGUGGAAUUCCGAGUGUAGAGGUGAAAUUCGUAGAUAUUCGGAAGAACACCAGUGGCGAAGGUGACUCGCUGGACAAGUAUUGACGCUGAGGUGCGAAAGCGUGGGGAGCAAACAGG
rnacentral:rRNA from 1 species